rnacentral:rRNA from 1 species
UAUUAAGAGAGUUUGAUUCUGGCUCAGGAUGAACGCUGGCGGCACGGAUAAGUCAUGCAAGUCGAACGGUGCAAGGUAGCAAUACUUUACAUAGUGGCGAACGAGUUAGUAACACCUUGGUACGUACUCCGAAGUCGGGCAUAACUCGUCGAAAGACGAAUUAAUUCCCGAUGGUCCUUUACGGGUAAAGUAGCAAUACGCUUCGGAAGCGGCCUAGGUCCUAUCAGCUUGUUGGCGGGGUAAUGGCCCACCAAGGCUAUGACGGGUAGGGGGUGUGAGAGCACGACCCUCAACGAUGGAACUGAGAUAAAAUUUGUCUCCUAAAAGAGUAAUCUUUUAGUAAAAUCUAGCUUAUAACGGUGAAACCUUUAACGGAUAUAAUGUUCAUAACUUAAAUAGUGGGUUAUGAUAUAAUACCCUAUAUGAAGACAACGCCGUGGGAAGUUAAUGCCAAAAAUGUUUCUGAUGCCUAUAUCGCUGGCUUUUUAGAUGGAGAUGGCUCGAUUGUCACAGUUAUUGAAAAACUUGGUGAUCGACGCAGGUUUCCAUUUCGUGUAAAGUUGAAAAUAAAUUUUACGCAGCAUGUAAGACAUAAAAAUCUUAUGUUCUUACUGCAAAAAGCUUUAGGCGGUGUAGGUUCAAUCAGAGAUGUUCCGACUCAUAAUCUUGCUGAAUUAGUGAUUCAAAAGCGUUCCGAUAUCAAAAUAGUAUUGGAACGACUAUUGCCUCACUUGAUUCUUAAACAGAGACAAGCACGAACAAUGCUCGCUAUGAUUGAUAUUUUCAAUCAAGGGCUCGUAAAUGUGCGGUGUUCUCUGUCCGAUAAAGACCUCGAAACAUUAUUUGCGAUGGCGAAAGAGCUUCGCAACAUGAAUUCGGGAACAGGUGGCAAGAAAAGUUAUGAGAUAAUUAACCCCGUAACGACUCAGAUCUCUAAGUGAGAUCGGAUAGAUAUUUUUUAGUGUCUAUAAUAUGCUAGCCCCUUCUAUUAGAAGGGAGAAGACAUAGUCUACACCAUUAGUGAUAAUGGAAUAAUGUGACGGUCCAUACACCUACGGGUGGCAGCAGACGAGAAUAUUCGACAAUGCACGAAAGUGUGAUCGAGCGAUGCCGCGUGCGGGAAGAAGGGCUUCGGCCUGUAAACCGCUUUUGCCAUGGAAAAAUUUUGAUUGUACAUGGA